CAUUUCUAUCUAUAAAAAGCAAGCUGCUUCCCCUAUCUCUUACCAAUAAAUAAAGAAGAAAGCAUGCUGGUCGUCGCUUGUACUUGCCUGGUAGCAGUUUUGCUACUUAUUACCCAGUUGAUUUGUUACUGGGUCCAACUACUUGUCACCCAUGUUCAAGAUCAUCAAUUUCUCUGUGUUCUUGAAAUCAAUGUCAAGGAUUUCUCCACUAACACCUCCCAAGAUACAGGUCAUGGUUCAACUAAUGAGAGGAGGCCGGAGUCGGACUGUAAAAUGCAAAGCACAUAAAUUUGCUGGAGAGAAGACAUGAUUAGAAGCUUUCUGGAGAAGAAAAACAGAAGCCAUGAUAUACUGUAAACAGUGUAGAGAGUAAUCUCAAGCUAGUAAGAAUAAAUAAUAGUCUGGCCAGUGAUACAUAUUCCAACAAAGAUAAUAUGUAUAACAAGCCAUCAACUGUACAUGUAUAAUCGUGAAAUUAGAGCUCUGUUCUACUUUAACAUGAGCUUUUCUGUUACAGUA